GUAGGGAAUCUUCCGCAAUGGACGAAAGUCUGACGGAGCAACGCCGCGUGAGUGAAGAAGGUUUUCGGAUCGUAAAACUCUGUUGUCGGAGAAGAACAAGCGGGAGACUAACUGUUCCCGCCUUGACGGUACCCGACCAGAAAGCCACGGCUAACUACGUGCCAGCAGCCGCGGUAAUACGUAGGUGGCAAGCGUUGUCCGGAUUUAUUGGGCGUAAAGCGAGCGCAGGCGGUUCCUUAAGUCUGAUGUGAAAGCCCACGGCUCAACCGUGGAAGGUCAUUGGAAACUGGGGAGCUUGAAUGCAGAAGAGGAGAGUGGAAUUCCAUGUGUAGCGGUGAAAUGCGUAGAUAUAUGGAGGAACACCAGUGGCGAAGGCGACUCUCUGGUCUGUUAUUGACGCUGAGGCUCGAAAGCGUGGGGAGCAAACAGGAUUAGAUACCCUUGUAGUCC
rnacentral:rRNA from 1 species